GUGGCCAGGUCGCUUCUGAAAAAGAGCUUAAUAGCUCUCAAUGGGCCUUACCUGGUAAAUAAAAAAUAGUUUACUUUAAUGGUAUACAUACUUGAAUUUUACUGCGGAUGUUUUAAAACAUGUCCUGUCUAACUGUCAACUUUGUUUGAAUUUCAGUGGGAGAAGAUGCUUCUCACACAGACGUUAAAGCAGACGCCGCGCAACUGACGCCGCUCCCAGCGCCGCCGACCUCUGCUUCCCCGGCCACGGCCACGGGGAGUUCCUCUCCUCUGCUGGACACCCCGUGUGCUGGACCUGCUGCUCCACCACACUUGCCUGCCCACUACACAGGCACAAAGAGGUGAUUUUGAAGUGUCGUCGUCACGCGAGGACGUGGACCGAGACAGCGCGUGGAACCAGUGGCUGCGCUCCGAGAUCCCGGGGCUCUUCCUGCUGGCCCUGCACACGUUUACCGUGAGUCGGUGCAGAUGUGGCCUCGCGACUGGGGCUGCCACCUGUCUGUGUUUGACCCCCGGACAGUGUUCGGGUGGCAGCAGGAAUUAAUUUGUGUCGAGAUCUGGUACCCCGGGUAUGGCUAUGGUUGAAUUUUAUCACCGUGAACUGCACAGUUUUAACAAUAGACCUCGGCUCGCUGAGAAAUGUGCCUGGGUUUGCUCUGUCGUAGGAAUGGUGGCAACUGUACUUGGGGCAUCGGCACGUUUAUUCGCGCUCCGGCUCCAUUUACACCGAGAGUCACGUGCUUGUCUCGUGCGGGGAGUGGUGGUGUAGCUGUCAGGGGGCAUCCAUUUAGUAUGUAUGCAUGGAGGGGGGAGGAGGGGUUAACCCAAAUGCGUACGCUUGCGUACUACUGACAAUGUGUAAGCCGACUGCAAUGGCAUGAAUCUGCCCAUCGCAGUGACAUGGGGAAGUAAUUGCUUCCGACAAAGGCGUUCUACGACCUUUUCAAUCGUACUCAGGUUUGAGCACGGGGACAGUUUGCAUUCAUGAUCCUGAAUCAUGACAAUUCCUUGACUCUCCGGCAGUGGUGAAUCGUUCCAUCAGUAGGAAUCGUGUAUAUGUGUGUACGUGUAUGCACAGCUGUACCCAUUGGCUUCUGUUAUGGUCAUGUACGUUUAUUUUUUAUUUCGUGGAAUAUCACUUGCUGUACUCCACGCGGUGAGUGCUUUGUGUAGAUAGGAAUCAUGUUAUGUAGAGAAUAUAAAUCUAAUUCAGUACCUCUAUAUGUCUCCCACAGACGAGCGGGGAGACAGCAGCCAGGCGGUGAGCCGGCACUACCAACAAUCGCCCAAGAUCUGCGGUUCUCUUUACAUUCCGAUAUUUGUAGCCACUUACUGAGUGUUUACAUGUGGGGGGAAACCAGUACACUCGCAGAAAACGAACGAAUGUGAGCAAGGGGGCAACGUUCUAUCCCGUGCAGAUGGAAAGGAUUCCACAGUUGUGUUCCACUGCCUCCUGGCAAGCCAGGGUAUGACUCAUCCUCGAUGCCC